rnacentral:tRNA from 1 species
GGGGAUGUAGCUCAGUUGGUUAGAGCGCCGGCCUGUCACGCCGGAGGUCGCGAGUUCGAGCCUCGUCAUCCCCGCCA